GCAAGUCGAGCGGAAACGAGAAUAGCUUGCUAUUCGGCGUCGAGCGGCGGACGGGUGAGUAAUGCUUGGGAAUAUGCCUUUGAGUGGGGGACAACAGUUGGAAACGACUGCUAAUACCGCAUAAUGUCUACGGACCAAAGGGGGGGAUCUUCGGACCUCUCGCGUCAAGAUAUGCCUAGGUGGGAUUAGCUAGUUGGUGAGGUAAUGGCUCACCAAGGCGACGAUCCCUAGCUGGUCUGAGAGGAUGAUC
rnacentral:rRNA from 1 species